AUGAAUGUUAAAUGCUAAAUCUAUCUUCCCAGUAUGACUACAAACUCCUUAGGCCUGUGGCUGUAUCUUCUGUUUCUUAGAUGCCCCCUCUGACUCCUAUAACACAGAGUAUUCACUAACCAUGUUGGAGCCAUGUAACAAAUUGAACUAAAAUGGGAAAUAGCACCCAUUCUCGCAAUGUUAUCAUUCUGCCCUGUGUAUGACCCUAACUCUGAACUUGAAAUUCAGUUCUGUUCUUAUUCAGGUCCACAUCCAACUUGGUGUUUCUUCUUUUCUUUCAACCCAUACAUCAACUAAGUUGAACGUUAAACAUACUUUCAAAGCUGUGUGAAUGAGCCUCAUGCUUUUUGGCCCCUGUGCCUUUCCUAGAGCUAUCAUCUGUCUCAGGAACAGUCUCCACCCGCAUCUUCGUCCCACUGGCCAAAGAGUCUGUUGCAGAUCAGUGGGUCUCACCUCCAUCUGUGGCACCAACAUUCCAGCACGCAGCUUCCGGAAUGGCUGCGGUAAAGGAGGACUCACAUCGCUUCUCCUAUGCUUUGCCCUGGACUUGACAGCCAUCACUUCUGCUACAGUCCAUGGCCCAGUCCUGUGUCCCUGCCUAACAGGGAGGGUGCUGGAAAAUGCAUGAGCUCACAUAGAUAGCCCAGGCACGACAUAUAUCUCUUUCCAUGCAGCCCAUAGGACUUUUUAUUCAUCUUAAAGGGUCAUACUCACAUAGACCAACUCAAGGAAAGAAGAGAUCUCAUACUUAGAAAAGAGACAUCCACAGAGAACACUGUAAAACACUAGAACAAAAAUAUAUUUAAAAGGGGCAAUGUUAAAUGGGCAACGUUUGCCAUAAUCUUCAGUAGUCAGUCAAUUGAUUAAAGAGAACUUGUGAAGCGUUUUCAGUGUCUCAGAAAAAAUAAAUUUCCCAUGGUCGGCUUCCA
rnacentral:lncRNA from 1 species